UUAUUCAGAAAGAUAAUUACAAUAAUAUAUAGGGUUGGGUAGUCUGAAUCAAAAUGUACAUAUCUAAAACUUAUUUUAUAAUUUAUAAAAAAGGUAAUGAAUUUUAAGAGGCGAAAACGAUUUUAGAAAGAUACACAAUUUUUUUAAAAAAAAUAUAAUAUAAAACUUAAAUGUUACGGUUAGAGAAUUUUAUUUUUUGCAUAAGCAUUCCAAUUUCUAAAUCGAUUAUAUUUUCUAAAAAAAUAUUUUUAGGUGUGUUCUCAUGUGAACCCCUCUCUCUCUCUCUCCAGUAUAUAUAUAUGUGUAGGGUUUUUAUAGUUUCUCUAUGUGGAAGUAAAAUUUGAAUUAUUAAUUAACAUUUGGUACAUUACUAUCUUCUUCAUUCUCUUUGUUUGAUUAAAGAAAUAUAAAACAAAAUAUUUAUCACCAAAUUUAGAGACAAAAUUAAACAAGAUAUUUAAGAAUUAAACAAUAGAUGGAAAGGGUUGAUUAUCAUUCAGAACAUUGUAUUUGAUUUUCUCUUUUGGAUUUUAUCCUUUUUUGUUCCUUUUCAUUUCCUAUGAUUCCUUUUCUUCUUCUUCUUUAUUGUUAAUGUAUUGGCUACAACUUAUUACUCAGAGAAGAAAUCUUCUAUGUUACCUACCGAUUCUAUGUCUCUUAACAUAAUAUAAAUAGACACUAAGACAUAUGACAAUCUCGAAGCGCAGUCA
rnacentral:lncRNA from 1 species